UUAAGCAUAUCAAUAAGCGGAGGAAAAGAAACUAACAAGGAUUCCCCUAGUAACUGCGAGUGAAGCGGGAAAAGCUCAAAUUUAAAAUCUGGCGGUCCUCUGGCCGUCCGAGUUGUAAUCUGGAGAAGCGUUUUCCGCGUCGGACCGUGUACAAGUCUUCUGGAACGGAGCGUCAUAGAGGGUGAGAAUCCCGUCUCUGACACGGACCGCCGACGCUUCAUGUGAUACGCUCUCGAAGAGUCGAGUUGUUUGGGAAUGCAGCUCAAAAUGGGUGGUAAAUUCCAUCUAAAGCUAAAUACUGGCGAGAGACCGAUAGCGAACAAGUACCGUGAGGGAAAGAUGAAAAGCACUUUGGAAAGAGAGUUAAACAGUACGUGAAAUUGUUGAAAGGGAAACGUUUGAAGUCAGUCGCGUCGGCCGGGACUCAGCCUUGCUAUCUUGCUUGGUGCACUUCUCGGUCGACGGGUCAGCAUCAAUUUUGACCGUCGGAUAAAGGCCGAGGGAACGUGGCAUCCUCCGGGGUGUGUUAUAGCCCUUGGUUCGCAUACGGCGAUCGGGAUUGAGGAACUCAGCGCGCCUUCAUUGGUCGGGGCUUCGCGGCUCACGUUAACGCGCUUAGGAUGCUGGCAUAAUGGCUUUAAGCGACCCGUCUUG
rnacentral:rRNA from 1 species